AGGAGGGGUUUCGAGGCAGCGGGGAUGGGGAGGGGUGCCCCUGUGACGGAUUAGAGAUGUCGGCGCCGAACUGUGGUCGUCGUCGCGGAGCUCACCGGGCCAUGGGCAUGGCCGAUCGUUUGUUGUGCGGACUGCUGCAUGACCACCAGACUCCAGCCGACGAUCAUGUAAUCAUGUUGCUGUGAUAGAUUAGAGACGUCGGCGCGGAGCUGUCGACGUCGUCGCAGAGCUCAUCGGAACAUGGCCGGUCGUUCUUGGCGCGGACUGCUCCAUGACCUCCAGGCUGCAGCCGGCGAUCAAGUAAUCAUGUGGCCUUCGCGUUCUCUCCAUGAUUAGCCGCAGCCUGUGCCACGUGGACUUGCUCUCGCUCCUCAUCCAUAGACAGAUGCACGUCAAGAAGAACUACAAGAAGACGCCCAUCAAGGAUCGUUGUAUAGCAUCAAGAGCACCUUCUCCACCUAGAAGACCAACUCCAACUAUGCUCUGUGGCUUUGAUAAUGUUUGGUGAAGCAUCGAGGAGGCACAUGCGAGGAAUCGACAGUUGUCCGAUUGAGGCGCUGGUUAAUGGCUACGGUCGCUACCGGUGCCAGAUGGCCAUAGCCACGCAGCCCAGAAAAAAACAACAUCUCGGUGGCACAUAAACGUUUAGGAGAGGGAGCUUGUGGACAAGGCCUACAAUAUUUUUCUGAAUGAGUAAAAACUAGGGUACGGAUGAUAUGACAAGGUGCCUUGGUUGAUUGACGAGGAGUUUGUCACUGUCUCACUGCAAUGGUGCACAUGAACAAAAGGGACAGGGAAGAGCACAUCUAUACUGCAUUCCAAUACUUCGACCAGGAUAGCAGUGGGUACAUUACAGAAGAAGAGAUGGAGCAAGCCUUACAGGAGCUGAAGUUGUACGGUCCGAGAAAUACAAGCAUGCCAUCGCUAAAGCUGAUUUUCACGAUGUAAGAAAGAAAAACAAUGUAAAGACGGUGCAUACAUGACUAAGAUGCCAUGUGAGUGACACAACAGUGUCAUUUUAGAUAGAAAAAUACAUACAUAACAAUAUAUGGUAAAUACAUCGAAAGAAACUGAAAGUAUUUUCUUCACGCAGCUGCGUCAGCGUUUCUCUGACAAGAUGGGAGGCUUCAGAGUGACCGUGAUGAUCCUUCUGUUUUUUCUUUCCCGGUCCCAGAUCUACCUCAUCUCAUAAUUGGUCAAUUGUUGAUCCCUAGAUUUUUCUGAUUUUUGUAUGAGGCAACAUUUGUCUUGCAUGAAUUUGUAUUUUGAUUCAGUAGAACCGCUAUAAAUUGAAUUUUGGGGAAUUCUGCAUUCCGUCAGUACCUCCAUAUAGUCGAUGUUUAAACUGUUUUGCAAAGUGUUGCAUGGUUAUUUACAUGAAAAGUCAUGCAUAGCCCAUAGCUGAUGCUACCGCCUUUUGUAUUGUUUUCAGGUGGGGGUCAUUCAUUAAGUUUCGGUGUAAGCAAGGUGUGAUGAGGUUUUCCUGCAAAGUUUACAAGGCUUUUAUUUCAAGUGGUGGAGCAAGGUCAUGAAUAUAAAGCUUUUAUUCUCGAGUGGUGGUGGAAUGCAAUGGAACGGAAACGAAUUCAGGCAACACAACACGUAGGGAACUCAAAAAAUUUGUC